UAUUCCUUGCACUUUCGGAUGUAAUACGGAGGGUGCGAGCGUUAAUCGUAAUUACUGGGCGUAAAGGGUGCGUAGGUGGUUGAUUAAGUUAUCUGUGAAAUUCCUGGGCUUAACCUGGGACGGUCAUAUAAUACUGGUUGACUCCAGUAUGGUAAAGGGUAUUGGAAUUUCCGGUGUAGCGGUGAAAUGCGUAGAUAUCGGAAUGAACACCAGUGGCGAAGGCGGCUACCUGGCCUAAUACUGACACUGAGGCACUAAAGCGUGGGGAGCAAACAUGAUUAUAUACCCUGGUAGUCCACGCUGUAAACGAUGUCAACUACCUGUUGG
rnacentral:rRNA from 1 species